rnacentral:rRNA from 1 species
UUGCACGCUGGCGGCAGGCCUAACACAUGCAAGUCGAGCGGAUGAAGGGAGCUUGCUCCUGGAUUCAGCGGCGGACGGGUGAGUAAUGCCUAGGAAUCUGCCUGGUAGUGGGGGAUAACGUCCGGAAACGGGCGCUGAUACCGCAUACGUCCUGAGGGAGAAAGUGGGGGAUCUUCGGACCUCACGCUAUCAGAUGAGCCUAGGUCGGAUUAGCUAGUUGGUGGGGUAAAGGCCUACCAAGGCGACGAUCCGUAACUGGUCUGAGAGGAUGAUCAGUCACACUGGAACUGAGACACGGUCCAGACUCCUACGGGAGGCAGCAGUGGGGAAUAUUGGACAAUGGGCGAAAGCCUGAUCCAGCCAUGCCGCGUGUGUGAAGAAGGUCUUCGGAUUGUAAAGCACUUUAAGUUGGGAGGAAGGGCAGUAAGUUAAUACCUUGCUGUUUUGACGUUACCAACAGAAUAAGCACCGGCUAACUUCGUG